CGCGCUGCGGCUGCUGCUGGGCUAACGGGCUCCGAUCCAGCGAGCGCUGCGUCCUCGAGUCCCUGCGCCCGUGCGUCCGUCCGCGACCCGAGGCCUCCGCUGCGCGUGGAUUCUGCUGCAGAACCGGAGACCAUGGCCAAACCAGCACAGGGUGCCAAGUACCGGGGCUCCAUCCAUGACUUCCCAGGCUUUGACCCCAACCAGGAUGCCGAGGCUCUGUACACUGCCAUGAAGGGCUUUGGCAGUGACAAGGAGGCCAUACUGGACAUAAUCACCUCACGGAGCAACAGGCAGAGGCAGGAGGUCUGUCAGAGCUACAAGUCCCUCUACGGCAAGGUAACCACAGCAACCGGAGGGCCCAUGGGGUGCGGGUGGAAGAAUGAUUUCAUUCACCUGUGUGCUCUUUCAGGUUAUUUCCUGGAUAUGGCACUCCAGGUUAGCCUGUGGGCUGACACCUUACCCUGCUCUUUUUCUUCUCAUCAGCUGGGUGUCUUUCAGCCUUUAAUACACCCACAGCACCUGCUGUAUGCUGGGCUCGUGCUAGGUGUUAGGGCUGCACUAGUGAAUAAGAUGGGUGAGGUGUCAACUCUGUGGACUGCCAGAUAGUGAGAGAGAUACACGGUAAACGAGGAAACAGACAGUGGUGGGGAAGUGGCACAGGGCUGUGGACUUGACCCUGCACAGCCGUUUGCUAGCAGCAUGACUUGGAGUAAGACCCCUGUUGUCUCUGAGCCUGUCUCUUAGGGUUGGUAACAGUACAUACCUCCAAGGGUGAUGAUUUAAUGAGAUUACUUAGCCCAGCACCUGCCAGGGUAAGUGCUCAUUAAGUGUAAUUCUUACUAUUGUAACUACUCUUCCUCUUUCCUCUUCUAUCUCCUCUUCUUCCCCACCCGCCAGGACCUCAUUGCUGAUUUAAAGUAUGAAUUGACGGGCAAGUUUGAACGGCUGAUUGUGGGCCUGAUGAGGCCACCUGCCUAUUGUGAUGCCAAAGAAAUUAAAGAUGCCAUCUCGGGCAUUGGCACUGAUGAGAAGUGCCUCAUUGAGAUCUUGGCUUCCCGGACCAAUGAGCAGAUGCACCAGCUGGUGGCAGCAUACAAAGAUGGUGAGAUGAGCAGGAGGG
rnacentral:sRNA from 1 species